rnacentral:rRNA from 1 species
UACGUAGGGGGCAAGCGUUGUCCGGAUUUAUUGGGCGUAAAGAGCGUGUAGGCGGCCAGACAGGUCAGCUGUGAAAACUCGAGGCUCAACCUCGAGACGUCGGUUGAAACCGUCUGGCUAGAGUCCGGAAGAGGAGAGUGGAAUUCCCGGUGUAGCGGUGAAAUGCGCAGAUAUCGGGAAGAACACCCGUGGCGAAGGCGGUUCUCUGGGCCUGUUCUGACGCUGAGGAGCGAAAGCGUGGGGAGCGAACAGG